AUUGAGUUGACAUUGUUUACCAUAGACACUUGAGAGAAACACUGAUAGUGCAUAUGUGAGAUUAUUACUUUUGAUUCACCUCUUGAGCUGAAUGAUCAUUUUGCCAUGCUUAAACUGCUUGGAUGAUUUCUGUGAGUAUUUGCUUUCCUUGAUUCUGUGUUGGAUACUGUCCACUUCCUUUCUUUGUCCAGAUUUCUUGAGAACUAUGCAACUCUGUGUCUGUCCUUGUGAGUCUUAGUUUUUGUAUGUUGAGUCUGUCACCUCCCUGAUGUCCUCUGAGUUGUUCC
rnacentral:lncRNA from 1 species